rnacentral:rRNA from 1 species
UACGUAGGGCGCAAGCGUUGUCCGGAAUUAUUGGGCGUAAAGAGCUCGUAGGCGGCUUGUCACGUCGGGUGUGAAAGCCCGGGGCUUAACCCCGGGUCUGCAUUCGAUACGGGCUAGCUAGAGUGUGGUAGGGGAGAUCGGAAUUCCUGGUGUAGCGGUGAAAUGCGCAGAUAUCAGGAGGAACACCGGUGGCGAAGGCGGUUCUCUGGGCCUGUACUGACGCUGAGGAACGAAAGCGUGGGGAGCGAACAGG